rnacentral:rRNA from 1 species
UGAACGUUGGCGGCGUGGAUUAGGCAUGCAAGUCGAGCGAGAAGCCUCCUUCGGGAGGCGGACAGCGGUGAAAGGGAGAGUAAUGUGUGGAUUACCUACCCUCGGGUCCGGAAUAGCCGCGGGAAACUGCGGGUAAUACCGGAUAAUAUCCCCGGAUCAAAGGUGUGAUUCCGCCCGGGGAUGGGUCCACAUCCUAUUAGCUUGUUGGUGAGGUAACGGCUCACCAAGGCCGCGAUGGGUACGGGGUGUGAGAGCAUGCCCCCGCUCACUGGGACUGAGACACUGCCCAGACACCUACGGGUGGCUGCAGUCGAGAAUCUUCGGCAAUGGGCGCAAGCCUGACCGAGCGACGCCGCGUGCGGGAUGAAGGCCUUCGGGUUGUAAACCGCUGUCAGAGGGGAUGAAAUGCCGGUGGGCUAUCCC